rnacentral:pre_miRNA from 1 species
UUGGAGUUUCCAUGAAACAAAUAUGGUAUGAUGUAAGGGAAACAUAAAAACCAAAGUUAGUCGAUUAUAGGGUUCAACUAACAUCAGUUUUGAUGUUUCCUUUACAUCAUACCAUAUUUGCUUCAUAGAAACUACA